rnacentral:rRNA from 1 species
UGACCGCGUAUGAAAGUACGUUUUCACCCUCGGGUGACAGGGAGACAGGUGGUGCAUGGUUGUCGUCAGCUCGUGUCGUGAGAUGUUGGGUUAAGUCCCGCAACGAGCGCAACCCCUACGUUUAGUUGCUAACAGGUGAAGCUGAGCACUCUAGACGAACUGCCGUUGACAAAACGGAGGAAGGUGGGAUGACGUCAAAUCAUCAUGCCCCUUAUGUUCUGGGCUACACACGUGCUACAAUGGCCGGUACAGACGGAGGCGAAGCCGCGAGGCGGAGCAAAUCCGAAAAAGCCGGUCUCAGUUCGGAUUGCAGGCUGCAAUUCGCCUGCAUGAAGUCGGAAUCGCUAGUAAUCGCAGGUCAGCAUACUGCGGUGAAUACGUUCCCGGGCCUU